GUCUUUAAUAGAUCAUAAAACUAGGGAUGGUUUAGGGCGGGGCUUACUGUGAUUGACAGGUCUCUAAUAGAUCAUACAACAGGGGAUGCUUUAGGGCGGGGCUUACUGUGAUUGACAGGUCUCUAAUAGAUCAUACAACAGGGGAUGCUUUAGGGCGGGGCUUACUGUGAUUGACAGGUCUCUAAUAGAUCAUAAAACAGAGGAUGCUUUAGGGCGGGGCUUACUGUGAUUGACAGGUCUCUAAUAGAUCAUACAACAGGGGAUGCUUUAGGGCGGGGCUUACUGUGAUUGACAGGUGUUUAAUAGUUCAUAAA
ensembl:lncRNA